rnacentral:rRNA from 1 species
CCUACGGGCGGCAGCAGUGGGGGAUAUUGCACAAUGGGGGGAACCCUGAUGCAGCGACGCCGCGUGGGUGAAGAAGCGCCUCGGCGCGUAAAGCCCUGUCAGCAGGGAAGAAAAUGACGGUACCUGUAGAAGAAGCCCCGGCUAACUACGUGCCAGCAGCCGCGGUCAUACGUAGGGGGCACGCGUUAUCCGGAUUUACUGGGUGUAAAGGGGGCGCAGACGGCGAUGCAAGCCAGGAGUGAAAGCCCGGGGCCCAACCCCGGGACUGCUCUUGGAACUGCGUGGCUGGAGUGCAGGAGAGGCAGGCGGAAUGCGUGGUGUAGCGAUGAAAUGCGUAGAUAUCAGGAGGAACACCGGUGGCGAAGGCGGCCUGCUGGACUGCAACUGACGUUGAGGCCCGAAAGCGUGGGGAGCAAACAGGAUUAGAUACCCCUGUAGUC